rnacentral:piRNA from 1 species
UUCAUUCAGGAAGGAAGCUGAUCUCACCAG